GACGAACGCUGGCGGCGUGCUUAACACAUGCAAGUCGAACGGAAAGGCCCUGCUUUUGUGGGGUGCUCGAGUGGCGAACGGGUGAGUAACACGUGAGUAACCUGCCCUUGACUUUGGGAUAACUUCAGGAAACUGGGGCUAAUACCGGAUAGGAGCUCCUGCUGCAUGGUGGGGGUUGGAAAGUUUCGGCGGUUGGGGAUGGACUCGCGGCUUAUCAGCUUGUUGGUGGGGUAGUGGCUUACCAAGGCUUUGACGGGUAGCCGGCCUGAGAGGGUGACCGGCCACAUUGGGACUGAGAUAUGGCCCAGACUCCUACGGGAGGCAGCAGUGGGGAAUAUUGCCCAAUGGGCGGAAGCCUGAUGCAGCAACGCCGCGUGCGGGAUGACGGCCUUCGGGUUGUAAACCGCUUUCGCCUGUGACGAAGCGUGAGUGACGGUAAUGGGUAAAGAAGCACCGGCUAACUACGUG
rnacentral:rRNA from 1 species